rnacentral:rRNA from 1 species
AGGGGGCCUAAAUGCAGUCGGCCGUCUUCGGGGUGAGCGCGGCGGGUUAGUAACGCGUGGGAAUAUACCCUUUGGUACGGAAUAGCCUCUGGAAACGGAGAGUAAUACCGUAUGAGCCCUUCGGGGGAAAGAUUUAUCGCCAAAGGAUUAGCCCGCGUUAGAUUAGGUAGUUGGUGGGGUAAUGGCCCUACCAAGCCUACGAUCUAUAGCUGGUUUUAGAAGGAUGAUCAACCAACACUGGGACUGAGAACACGGCCCAGACUCCUACGGGAGGCAGCAGUGGGGAAUCUUGGACAAUGGGGGCAACCCUGAUCCAGCCAUGCCGCGUGAGUGAUGAAGGCCUUAGGGUCGUAAAGCUCUUUCGCCUGUGAAGAUAAUGACGGUAGCAGGUAAAGAAACCCCGGCUAACUCCGUGCCAGCAGCCGCGGUAAUACGGAGGGGGUUAGCGUUGUUCGGAAUUACUGGGCGUAAAGCGCACGUAGGCGGACUGGAAAGUUGGGGGUGAAAUCCCGGGGCUCAACCCGGAACUGCCUCCAAAACUAUCAGUCUAGAGUUCGAGAGAGGUGAGUGGGAAUUCCGAGUGUAGAGGUGAAAUUCGUAGAUAUUCGGAGGAACACCAAUUGGCGAAGGCGCUCACUGGCUUCGAUACUGACGCUGAGGUGCGAAAGUGUGGGGAGCAAACAGGAUUUAGAUACCCUGGUAGUCCAAACGAAACAAUGAUUGCCAGUCGCGGUAGCAUGCCUUCGUGACCAACUACGGAUUAAGCUUUCCGCCUGGGAGUACGUCCCAGAUUAAAACUCAAGGAUGGGGGG